AGGUGGUUAACUUCAUAUUACACACCAUGGACCCUGGCAACUUAGUCAUGCGCAAAACUUGUAUUCAGAGUUCAAUGACAGCUCUAAGGGAAGUUGUACGUGUAUUUCCUAUGGUAGCCUUGAAUGACACGUCCACGAGAUUGGCUGUUGGGGAUGCAAUUGGGGAGGUCAAUAAUGCAAGCAUUUCAGUAUAUGACAUGCAAAGUGUGACAAAAAUAAAGGUUUUGGAUGCGAGUGCACCUCUAGGACUUCCAACUUUGCUUUCAGGAACAUCAGAAACAGCAGUGACUACGGUGAUUUCAGCUUUGAGCUUUUCCCCUGAUGGAGAGGGUUUGGUUGCUUUUUCUGAGCAUGGUUUGAUGAUCAGAUGGUGGUCAUUGGGAUCUGUCUGGUGGGAGAAACUGAGCCGAAGCCUUGUUCCUGUCCACUGUACCAAAUUAAUAUUUGUUCCUCCAUGGGAAGGAUUCUCUCCCAAUUCUGCUAGGUCUAGUGUAAUGGCAAGCAUAAUGGGACAUGAUAGACAGAGCAAUUUGCAGGAUAAUGCAAGGAGUUUGAGUUAUGCAGACAGUUUGAAGAUGCUAAUUCAGAAUUUUGACUUUUCUUACCGGCUAGAAUGGGUUGGGCAACGUAAGGUGCUUCUUACUAGGCAUGGCAUGGAAUUGGGCACUUUCCCUUUAUGAACAGCAGCAGGUAGUGAAGCACAUUCUUACGGGCGAGCUUCAAGAAGCAUGCAGUGAGGGAUGCACUCAUGGUUCGUACAAGAUUUCUUAAAAAAUGCACAGGUUUUAAUGUGUUCACAGUAAAAGAAUUUAUUUUAGGCAGACAGAAUCUCAUUGUGUAUGAUUUGUAUGUUCUCUUAAGCUUCUCAUAAUUUUUCUAGUUAUUCAUCUUUCAGUUCUCCAAAUUUUUGGAAUAAAGGCUUAGUUGAGUUAAGUUGAG
rnacentral:misc_RNA from 1 species